rnacentral:rRNA from 1 species
UACGUAGGGAGCAAGCGUUGUUCGGAUUUACUGGGCGUAAAGGGCGCGUAGGCGGCAAUUCAAGUCAUCUGUGAAAUCUCCGGGCUUAACUCGGAACGGUCAGAUGAUACUGCUUUGCUAGAGUGCGGAAGGGGCAAUCGGAAUUCUCGGUGUAGCGGUGAAAUGCGUAGAUAUCAGGAAGAACACCCGUGGCGAAGGCGGCUCUCUGGGACGGUACUGACGCUGAGACGCGAAAGCGUGGGGAGCGAACAGG